UAUCACAGCCGUAGUUGCCUUAC
rnacentral:miRNA from 1 species